UACAGAGGUCCCGAGCGUUGUUCGGAUUCACUGGGCGUAAAGGGCGCGUAGGCGGCUUUUCAAGUGACGGGUGAAAUCCCUCGGCUUAACCGAGGAACUGCCUGUCAGACUGGAAGGCUUGAGACCGGGAGAGGUGAGUGGAAUUCCCAGUGUAGCGGUGAAAUGCGUAGAUAUCAGGAGGAACACCUGCGGUGUAGACGGCUUACUGGACCAUAACUGACGCUGAGGCACGAAAGCGUGGGUAGCAAACAGG
rnacentral:rRNA from 1 species